AAGGGGGGACCUGAUCAGCCAUGCCGCGUGUGUGAAGAAGGCCUUUUGGUUGUAAAGCACUUUAAGCGAGGAGGAGGCUUACCUGGUUAAUACCUGGGAUAAGUGGACGUUACUCGCAGAAUAAGCACCGGCUAACUCUGUGCCAGCAGCCGCGGUAAUACAGAGGGUGCAAGCGUUAAUCGGAUUUACUGGGCGUAAAGCGCGCGUAGGUGGCUAAUUAAGUCAAAUGUGAAAUCCCCGAGCUUAACUUGGGAAUUGCAUUCGAUACUGGUUAGCUAGAGUAUGGGAGAGGAUGGUAGAAUUCCAGGUGUAGCGGUGAAAUGCGUAGAGAUCUGGAGGAAUACCGAUGGCGAAGGCAGCCAUCUGGCCUAAUACUGACACUGAGGUGCGAAAGCAUGGGGAGCAAACAGGAUUAGAUACCCUGGUAGUCCAUGCCGUAAACGAUGUCUACUAGCCGUUGGGGCCCUUGAGGCUUUAGUGGCGCAGCUAACGCGAUAAGUAGACCGCCUGGGGAGUACGGUCGCAAGACUAAAACUCAAAUGAAUUGACGGGGGCCCGCACAAGCGGUGGAGCAUGUGGUUUAAUUCGAUGCAACGCGAAGAACCUUACCUGGCCUUGACAUACAGAGAACUUUCCAGAGAUGGAUUGGUGCCUUCGGGAACUCUGAUACAGGUGCUGCAUGGCUGUCGUCAGCUCGUGUCGUGAGAUGUUGGGUUAAGUCCCGCAACGAGCGCAACCCUUUUCCUUAUUUGCCAGCACUUCGGGUGGGAACUUUAAGGAUACUGCCAGUGACAAACUGGAGGAAGGCGGGGACGACGUCAAGUCAUCAUGGCCCUUACGGCCAGGGCUACACACGUGCUACAAUGGUCGGUACAAAGGGUUGCUACUGCGCGAGCAGAUGCUAAUCUCAAAAAGCCGAUCGUAGUCCGGAUCGCAGUCUGCAACUCGACUGCGUGAAGUCGGAAUCGCUAGUAAUCGCGGAUCAGAAUGCCGCGGUGAAUACGUUCCCGGGCCUUGUACACACCGCCCGUCACACCAUGGGAAGUUUGUUGCACCAGAAGGUAGGUAGUCUAACCUUAGGGGAGGACGCUUACCACGGUGUGGCCGAUGACUGGGGUGAAGUCGUAACAAG
rnacentral:rRNA from 1 species